rnacentral:rRNA from 1 species
UACGGGGGGUGCAAGCGUUAUUCGGAAUUAUUGGGCGUAAAGGGUGCGUAGGCGGUUUUGUAAGUCAGAUGUGAAAUCCCGGGGCUUAACCUCGGAACUGCAUUUGAUACUGCAAGACUUGAGUAUGGGAGAGGGAAGCGGAAUUCCUGGUGUAGAGGUGAAAUUCGUAGAUAUCAGGAGGAACACCGGUGGCGAAGGCGGCUUCCUGGACCAAUACUGACGCUGAGGCACGAAGGCGUGGGGAGCAAACAGG